AUUGAACGCUGGCGGCAUGCCUUACACAUGCAAGUCGAACGGCAGCACGGACUUCGGUCUGGUGGCGAGUGGCGAACGGGUGAGUAAUGUAUCGGAACGUACCAUUGAGUGGGGGAUAACGUAGCGAAAGUUACGCUAAUACCGCAUAUACCCCGAGGGGGAAAGCAGGGGAUCUUAGGACCUUGUGCUCUUUGAGCGGCCGAUAUCAGGUUGGCUAGUUGGUGAGGUAAAGGCUCACCAAGGCGACGAUCUGUAGCGGGUCUGAGAGGAUGAUCCGCCACACUGGGACUGAGACACGGCCCAGACUCCUACGGGAGGCAGCAGUGGGGAAUUUUGGACAAUGGGGGUAACCCUGAUCCAGCCAUGCCGCGUGAGUGAAGAAGGCCUUCGGGUUGUAAAGCUCUUUCAGCCGGGAAGAAAUCGUGGUGGCUAAUAUCCAUCAUGGAUGACGGUACCGGAAUAAGAAGCACCGGCUAACUACGUGCCAGCAGCCGCAGUAA
rnacentral:rRNA from 1 species